UGAAGAUGGAGACUGACAAACAUUGAGGAGAAAUUCCGUUGACGUCACACAUCAGCAGGGCAAUGAGGAUAAGCAGAGGACUUUGCCAGAAUUUCCCAAAUCCUAUUCCGGGAGAAGAGGACUAUGAUUAUGGAACAUAAAGGGAUUUUCUCUCAAUCUUCACUCUGAGAACCUGGUGGAGCUCCAGAAGGACUCAUCACCCUGAAAACAGGAAGAAACAGAGAGAGACAACCCGAAAGAAAAAUGUUCCUCCCUAAGGCCUUGAGCAAACCAGAAUGAAGGCCGCCACUUCUAGACAUUUCCACAGCGUGAGCAGAGUGUGCCUAGUAAGAGCAGACCCCUGCCACAUGCAGGAUGCGGUUCUAAACACUUCAUACAAAUGGACUCAUUUCAUCUUCAAAACAACACUGAGAGACAGGGUCUUGCUCUGUGGGCCAGGCUGGAGUGCAGUGGUGCAAUCAUGGCCCACUGCCAUCUCGACCUCCUGGGCUCAAGUGACCUCCUAGGCUCGACCUCCUGGGCUCCUGCAUCAGGCUGCCAAGUAGCUGGGACUACAGGUAUGCGCCACAAUGCUUGCGUAAUUUUUAAAUUUUCUUGUAGAGAUGGGAUCUUGAACCAUGUUGCUUGAACUUCUGGGUUCAAGCAAUCUUCCUGCCUCAGUCUCCCAGACUGCUGAGAUUACAGGCAUGAGCCACUAUACCUGGCUUCAAACAACCCAUUCUUAUUACCAGUCCCAUUUUACAGAUGAGGCCAAUGAGGCUCAGGGAGCUUGUUCAACUUGCCCAAGGGCCCAUGAUUAGAAAAGGAACAGGAUCAGGAAGCAGAGCAUAUAUACCUUGCUCCCUGCCCAUCUCCAUCCUCUCUUCCCACAGCUGGGUCAUAAUCUGACCCUCUUUCUCAUCACCACUCAAAUUUGUGAAAAAACAUUAAUAACACUAUUAAUUCAAAUCAAAUACUUUGGAUUUGAAGACCUUCUGUUCAAAUCUGAUUACAGGUUUCCUAAGUUUUUUAUGUCUCCAGUUCUAUUAAGUUACAAGUUCAUCUGUCCCUGGCCUAAAUCAGUCUUUCAGAGUGGUUGAGAGAGAGGUGAGAUAAUCUGUGUACAAGUGAUUUCAAAAGCAUCAAGUGAGCUAUCUAGCCUGUUAGUUUGUCAUAAUCUGCUGUAAUAGCAUUCUCACACAUAUAUACAAACUCUGUUGUGGCUGCAGGAAAGUGCAAAGGCAUUGAAGCUGCCCGUCUUAGAAAUGUAACAUUUCUAACAUUACAUAUCUAAUGAGGCCUUUAAACUGGCAGUACUAGUCUAAGAUAACAGGGUCUUGGUCCUUUCCCUACAGAGACAGGUUUCUUGCUGCCAUAAUUAUUGGAUACUAGGGUAUUUCCAUUGCCGCAGGAGCUGAGUUCCCAAACUCCAAGCAACAAUGGGCUCAAAAGAAACUUUCUUUGAAUUUUUGUGCUACUAGAAACAGAUGUUUUAGUCUCUCCCUCCUGCACAUAAACCUCUGUUUGCUCCAUGAACACUGCCACAUUUAAGGGAGACUAUUGGAUUCUGGUUUUCUUAUUGCAUUUUAUUGGAUUGUUACACACUGUCUUGGUUGGGGUCCCUGGGACAAGUCCAUUUAUAGGGCCUGAGAAACCAACCCAUGGUCCUGACAAGUAGACACUCCACUGGAAUGAGAACUCACCUUGGUGAUCAGCUGUAGGCCUUAAGGAUUAAGCUGGAUAAUCAAGGAUGACCCUUGAUGAUAACACAAGGGUUUCUGUUUAGGCACCAAUGUUAUAUAUACAAUGAAGAAAUGUGAUUUUUAGCCCGACAUACUGACUCAUGCCUGUAAUCCCAGCAUGUUAAGAGGCUGGGAUAUUAAGAUCCCAGCAAAAGGAUUGCCUAAAGCCAGGGGUUUAAAACCAGCCUUGGCAUCACAGAGGCCCCAUCUCUACAAAAAUAAAAAGUACAAAAAAGUUAAAAAUUAGCUGGGCAUGGUGGCACACACUUGUAGUCCUAGCUACUUGGGAGGCUGAGGCAAAGACAAAUAGGUCUUUAAUCAAGGUUGACACACAUGGCUUCUGCUUCCUCCUUGUUAAAGGUGGUACUGAAUACCUCAAUAAAGUAGUAAAAAAACAAGUAUGAUUUUGAAAACUCAACCUGGUACCUUGAGUAGAAAGAGCAUAGAAUAUAUUUCCCUAAAUCUUAUUUUGUCUUUUUACUCAAAUUCAGCACAGCCUAAGGCCAAUGAUGACAUCCUGGGAUAAUACUUUGAGUUAUUAACUGAUUUUUUUUUUUCCUCUCCAGCACUUUGCUUUUUCUUGGCUUUUAUACACACACACACCCUAAGCCAUUGUGGGUUCACUGCCUCUCAGAAAUGCAGAAACAUCUUGACAGAGAAAUGCAGAAACAUCUCGACAGAGAGCAUAGCUUCUUACUAGGUUCCUAUGUCAGGUCCAUUUUGUGUGGCUAUGACAGAAUACCACGGACUGGGAAAUUACAACAAACAGAAAUUUAUGGACUCAUAAUA